AAAAGGAGCCUUUUGUAGAGACUUCCAUCUGGGGAACAGAUUUCUGAGGGCUCCUGAGACACAGAAUAAACUUCCAUGAUGAAACAGACAGGACCACCCCCACCAAACUGAGUGAGUUUACCUCCACGAACCUGAACUGCUGAAAGAUCCCUGGGUAGGAUGGCUCCUCAACGUUGUGCGCAUCAUGGGGCAGCAAGAGCAGUCUGUAUUAAAUGUAACCUUGAAUCCUCAUACCUGGAGGGCACCCUGAGCCAUCCAUCCUUUUAAGCCCUCCCACUACAGUAAGAAAGUGGCCAGUUGCAGGGGCAUCCUUCAGAUGACAGAGAAACACUCAAGAGACUGGGAAGAAAUGAAUCGUCAUGGGUGACCAGUGCUGAGGCUCAAAACCAGGCCCUUGUGCAUGUUAAGCAUGUGUUCUCUCACCGAGCUAUUCUCCAAACCCCUACAGGU